rnacentral:rRNA from 1 species
GACAUAGGUCGCAAACGUUAUCCGGAAUUAUUGGGCGUAAAGGAUGCGUAGAUGGUUCAGUAAGUUACUGGUGGGAAAUCGAGGCCCAACCUCGUGGAAGUCAGUAAUACUGUUGAACUUGAGUGCAGGAGAGGUUAACGGAACUUUAUGUGGAGCGGUAAAAUGCAUAGAUAUAUAGAAGAACACCAAUAACGGCGAAGGCAGUUAACUAUUCUGUUCCUGACAUUGAGGCACGAAAGCGUGGGGAGCAAAACGG